rnacentral:rRNA from 1 species
AUGUUGCUGCGGUUAAAGGCUCGCAGUUGAAUGUCAGUUAAUAUACGCGUAGAGGUGCCGGGACGUUGCGAACUUUGGUUUUCGGAUCAUUGCGAGCCGUCUCUCCAAGUGCAUCUCUCGCGGGCUAACGAUUCGAUUAGCGGGUAAAGUGCUUCGGUACUUAGCCCGUUAGUUGACACCUUGAGUAAAUCAGAGUGCUUAAAGCAGUCGUUGCAACACUACGGCUGCGACUUACCCUCGCGGGCUUAGUCGUAUGUCUGGUGACGUCGAAAGACGUUUGGACAUUGUCUUUGCUUUGCAUGGUACGUCGGAAGACGCCGUGUGAGUUGGUUGUGCUUGCGGUGUGACACACCUCGUGUGUGCGCGCGCGCCAACGAGCACGGAAUGAAUCGAAAGGGAUGGAUCGAAGGCAUUGGUAUUGCGAGGCGAGAGGUGAAAUUCUAUGACCCUCGCAAGACUUCCCGAAGCGAAAGCGUCUGCCUAGGACGUCUUCAUUAAUCAUGAACGAAAGUUGAAGGAUCGAAGGCGAUCAGAUACCGCCCUAGUUGCAACUGUAAACGAUAUCAACCAUCAAUCCGUCAAAGCGUUCCCUUGCGUUCACGGAGUUGGGUUCGCCCGCUUCGUGGACUAAGUGUAAGCGCUCGAUGGGCAGCUCUUCUCGGACGGAAAACCAGAGUUUUUCGGUUCCGGGGGGAGUCUGGUUGCAAAGCUGAAACUUAAAGGAAUUGACGGAAAGGCACCACCAGGCGUGGAGCUUGCGGCUCAAUUUGACUCAACACGGGAAAUCUUACCAGACCCGAACAUCUUUGAUGAUUGACAGACUGAAAGCUCUUUCUUGAUAAAGUGGAUGGUGGUGCAUGGCCGUUCUUAGUUGGUGGAGUGAUCUGUCUGGUUAAUUCCGAUAACGAACGAGACUCUCCCCUGCUAACGGACUUCGGUCCUUUUAGACAGUGUGAUUCGGUGCAAGGACCCACGGGCGUAAGCUCCGGGACCGGACGAUGUCCACUGAUCCUUGGUGCGCUGUGGGUGUGCGCUUACGUGCGUGGCUUCGGUCGUGCGUGUUCGUGUGUGCUCGCGGCAAAGCGCUUCGGAGUACUUUUCUUCUUAGAGGGAUUGACGACACUUAAGUCGUAAGAAACAGGGAGCAAUAACAGGUCUGUGAUGCCCUUAGAUGUUCUGGGCUGCACGCGUGUUACAAUGCCGGUAUCAACGGGUUCUUACACUUCCAGUGGCCUACUCCGAAAGGAGCGGGUAAACCUGUGAAAUACCUUGUGCGCUUGUCUCACGAUAGUGCAAUUUCGGCAUGCUUGGGACUGGGGAUUGCAAUUAUUCCCCACAAACUAGGAAUGCCUAGUAGUAGCGAGUCACAGAGCUCGCUGCGACUCUGUCCCUGCCCUUUGUACACACCGCCCGUCGCUACUACCGAUUGAGUGUACCAGUGAGAUUUUUGGACUGGCGAACCGCAAACCUUCGGGUUAGCGGCGAACGACACGAAGAGACUCGAACUGGUGCACUAGAGAA